rnacentral:rRNA from 1 species
GACGAACGCUGGCGGCGUGCCUAAUACAUGCAAGUAGAACGCUGAAGGAGGAGCUUGCUCUUCUGGAUGAGUUGCGAACGGGUGAGUAACGCGUAGGUAACCUGCCUGGUAGUGGGGGAUAACUAUUGGAAACGAUAGCUAAUACCGCAUAAUAACAGUUGCUGCAUGACAACUGUUUGAAAGGUGCAAUUGCAUCACUACCAGAUGGACCUGCGUUGUAUUAGCUAGUUGGUGGGGUAACGGCUCACCAAGGCGACGAUACAUAGCCGACCUGAGAGGGUGAUCGGCCACACUGGGACUGAGACACGGCCCAGACUCCUACGGGAGGCAGCAGUAGGGAAUCUUCGGCAAUGGACGAAAGUCUGACCGAGCAACGCCGCGUGAGUGAAGAAGGUUUUCGGAUCGUAAAGCUCUGUUGUAAGAGAAGAACGAGUGUGAGAGUGGAAAGUUCACACUGUGACGGUAUCUUACCAGAAAGAGACGGCUAACUACGUG